UACAGAGGGUGCAAGCGUUGUUCGGAAUUACUGGGCGUAAAGCGCGUGUAGGCUGCGGUGUAAGUCGGACGUGAAAGCCCUUGGCUUAACCAAGGAAGUGCAUCCGAUACUGCGUCGCUUGAGUGCCGGAGGGGAUGGCGGAAUUCCCGGUGUAGAGGUGAAAUUCGUAGAUAUCGGGAGGAACACCUGUGGCGAAGGCGGCCAUCUGGACGGUAACUGACGCUGAGACGCGAAAGCGUGGGUAGCAAACAGG
rnacentral:rRNA from 1 species